UGGGGAAUAUUGGGCAAUGGGGGAAACCCUGACCCAGCGACGCCGCGUGAGGGAAGAAGGUUUUCGGAUUGUAAACCUCUGUCCUUGGCGACGAUAAUGACGGUAGCCAAGGAGGAAGCCACGGCUAACUACGUGCCAGCAGCCGCGGUAAUACGUAGGUGGCGAGCGUUGUCCGGAAUUACUGGGUGUAAAGGGAGCGUAGGCGGGGAGAGCAAGUCGACUGUGAAAGCUAUGGGCUUAACCCAUAGAUGCGAUCGAAACUGUUCAUCUUGAGUGAAGUAGAGGCAGGCGGAAUUCCUAGUGUAGCGGUGAAAUGCGUAAAUAUUAGGAGGAACACCAGUGGCGAAGGCGGCCUGCUGGGCUUUAACUGACGCUGAGGCUCGAAAGCGUGGGGUAGCAAACAGGAUUAGAUACCC
rnacentral:rRNA from 1 species